UGGGUAACCUACCCUGUACACACGGAUAACAUACCGAAAGGUAUGCUAAUACGGGAUAAUAUAUUUGAGAGGCAUCUCUUAAAUAUCAAAGGUGAGCCAGUACAGGAUGGACCCGCGUCUGAUUAGCUAGUUGGUAAGGUAACGGCUUACCAAGGCGACGAUCAGUAGCCGACCUGCGAGGGUGAUCGGCCACAUUGGAACUGCGACACGGUCCACACUACUACGGGAGGCAGCAGUGGGGAGUAUUGCACAAUGGGCGAAAGCCUGAUGCAGCAACGCCGCGGGAGUGAUGAAGGCCUUCGGG
rnacentral:rRNA from 1 species